rnacentral:lncRNA from 1 species
ACGGAGAGAAGCUCAGCAAGGCAGCCAUUCUCCAGCAGACAGCCGAGUACAUCUUCUCCCUGGAGCAGGAGAAGACCAGGCUCUUGCAGCAGAACACACAGCUCAAGCGCUUCAUCCAGGAGCUGAGCGGCUCGUCCCCCAAGCGACGGCGGGCAGAGGACAAGGACGAAGGCAUAGGCUCCCCGGACAUCUGGGAGGACGAGAAGGCGGAGGACCUGCGGCGGGAGAUGAUUGAGCUGCGGCAGCAGCUGGACAAGGAGCGCUCGGUGCGCAUGAUGCUGGAGGAGCAGGUGCGCUCGCUGGAGGCCCACAUGUACCCGGAAAAGCUCAAGGUGAUUGCGCAGCAGGUGCAGCUGCAGCAGCAGCAGGAACAGGUGAGGCUGCUGCACCAGGAGAAGCUGGAGCGGGAACAGCAGCAGCUGCGGACCCAGCUUCUGCCCCCUCCGGCCCCCACCCACCACCCCACGGUGAUCGUGCCAGCACCGCCUCCUCCUCCCUCCCACCACAUCAAUGUCGUCACCAUGGGCCCCUCCUCGGUCAUCAACUCUGUUUCCACAUCCCGGCAAAAUCUGGACACCAUCGUGCAGGCAAUCCAGCACAUCGAGGGCACCCAGGAAAAGCAGGAGCUGGAGGAGGAGCAGCGGCGAGCUGUCAUCGUGAAGCCUGUCCGCAGCUGCCCGGAGGCCCCCACCUCUGACACCGCCUCCGACUCCGAGGCCUCAGACAGUGACGCCAUGGACCAGAGCCGGGAGGAGCCGUCGGGGGACGGGGAGCUUCCCUGACUACCCCCCCAGCCCUCCUCUCCCUUCUGGGGGCUGGAGGGAGCCGGGGCAGCCACAGGGAGAGACAUGGGCGAAUGAGUGAGAAAUUUUUACAAAAUUACGAUGUCAUUUGGGUCUCUUUUAUGACCUCUUUUUCAAUACUGUAAAUCGACCUUUGAACGAAGCCACUCAACCCGAGGUCCCGGGGCUGGGGUGUCGCAGAGCGUGUGGGAGCAUCGGCACCCCAGGGCGGGGCCUCGGCCCCGGGGGCUGGAGGAAGCUGACACGGAGAUGCCUGGCCUCUCUCUGCCAAAAAGCAUUUUUUCCUUUAAAUAUGUUUUUUAAGAACAGGGAAAAUUAAACAAAACCCCAGGUUAUUUCUUCCCUGCCCAGAGCCAGCCUGGGAUUGUCAGCCUUCAAUCCCCUUUCCUUCCUCUUUUUGGGUUUUCUUCUUUCUCCUUUAAGCACUUACAUGGUUGGGGGUAAGACUAGGCUGGGGCAUUCUGGGGGCCCGGAGGUCUCCGUUGCUUCUUGGUUGGGGUUUGCUGCUGCUGUGCCCCCCUCCCCCUUCCCCAUCUCGGCACUAGAAUUCGCCACUCUCCCACCCCCCAGCCCCCACCUCUGCCUCCAGGUCUCAUCUUCCACCCCAAAAAUGUCUGUCUCUCUCUUUUUGUUUUGUUUGUUGUUGGUUUUUUAUUUCUUUUUGGUUUGCUUUCUGUUUUUGUUUUGUUUUUCUUUUUUUUCUUUCUUUUUUUUUUUUUUUUACAAUUUUGAGGUCUUCGUGUUCAAGGAGAAGCUAUUAUAUUUUGUUAAGAAAGUGGGGAGAAAAAAACCAAGAGGCCACCGUGCCUUUGUAAAGAAACAAAAUAAAGUUUGUACUUUGUUUU